rnacentral:rRNA from 1 species
UACAGAGGGUGCGAGCGUUAAUCGGAAUUACUGGGCGUAAAGCGCGCGUAGGCGGCUUUGCAAGUCGAGUGUGAAAUCCCCAGGCUUAACCUGGGAACUGCAUUCGAGACUGCAUAGCUAGAGUAUGGGAGAGGGAAGUGGAAUUUCAGGUGUAGCGGUGAAAUGCGUAGAUAUCUGAAGGAACAUCAGUGGCGAAAGCGACUUCCUAGACCAAUACUGACGCUCAUGUGCGAAAGCGUGGGGAGCAAACAGG